rnacentral:misc_RNA from 1 species
AACGCACCUUGCGCUCCGUGGUACUCCGCGGAGCAUGCCUGUUUGAGUGUCAAGACCCACCUCAACCACCACUGGUAUGAAGCCAGAGGCGGCUUGGAUCGUGGCCCUAUCCGACCCGAUCGCUCGCGAGGGCGUGUUCUGGUCGCAGGCCGAAAUGGGCGACAAGAGCGUCGAUGCGGCGCGCGGUUCGACCGGAACGUUGUACUUGCCUUCGUUCACGGGACGCGCGCCCAGCUGUUGCGCUGCGAACGCAGACGGAGCUUCCUAGCUCCCUUUGACCUCGACCUCAAAUCAGGCAGGACGACCCGCUGAACUUAA